UGAAAACUACAAUCAGCAGGGAAUUGGG
rnacentral:sRNA from 1 species